rnacentral:rRNA from 1 species
UAGGGAAUUUUGCGCAAUGGGCGAAAGCCUGACGCAGCAACGCCGCGUGAGUGAUGAAGGUCUUCGGAUUGUAAAGCUCUGUUGAGUGGGAAGAAUGAUCUUUCGUCUAAUAUACGGAAGAUGUGACGGUACCACUCGAGGAAGCCCCGGCUAACUACGUGCCAGCAGCCGCGGUAAUACGUAGGGGGCAAGCGUUGUUCGGAAUUACUGGGCGUAAAGGGAGCGUAGGCGGGGAGGUAAGUUAGGAGUGAAAUACACGGGCACAACCCGUGUGUUGCUUUUAAUACUGCUUCUCUUGAGUAUGGAAGAGGGAGAUGGAAUUCCAGGUGUAGCGGUGGAAUGCGUAGAUAUCUGGAAGAACACCAGUAGCGAAGGCGGUCUCCUGGUCCAAUACUGACGCUGAGGCUCGAAAGCUAGGGGAGCAAACAGG